UAUUGACAGGACAAAAAAUCUACCGCGCUGUUGACAAUAAUUUUUAGUUAAAUAAUCACCAUUCACGAGAUUAUUCGACAUUAUUAAGAUGCGGAUGGUCUUGUGUUGUCGAUAACAAAUGUAAUUCCACUUGUUGAAUGUUGUGCCGCUCUACCAUAGGAGUCAAAAUUAUUGCACACAAACAGUGGUGGUGUGACGAUAUGGGAGCCCUAACAUCGCUUUUUUGUGUGAUCACGAUCAGUUUGUUUUGUCGCCUUUGAGGAAGAAUUUUAAAAACAAAUAAAAAGUGAUGAACAAAGCUUAUGAGACUAGAGUUAAAUUUUGGUCAGAACAAUUCGAAAAAGCAAGCAAACUUACCGGUUUAAAUUUUUUAUUUUCAUGAACCUUCAGAUAAAAGUGAUUUUCUUGAGAUAGCAAAAAGUUAAUUCUUAAUUCAACAACAUUAAUAAAAAGUGAUUUUUUGAGAUAACCAACAAAUUACAACGAAAAUUGUGAGCUUUGUCUGUUAUCAUUUUUGUAUCGGAAUUCAUUAUUUUCAACAACAGAUGCCGAGGAAUUUGACAGAUUAAAUACUAACACUUUGUGGUCGAUAACUUCUACUUUGAAACGCCACCCUCCUGUACCAACGUGAGGUCUACCGUGAGAGUUACGUUCAGGUAACCCGAGCGACCCGAUCAACUCGAAGAUGCUUCCCUUUGGACUACACUAAGGUUCAUCGCAGACGUUGUUUUCAACUAAUGGAUUCAGAUGCAUUUGUCGUAACCAUUUUACUCGCAAAUUAGUUGUCAAAAAUUAUUGUUAUGUAAACAGUUCAAAUGAAACAAAUAAAUUGUGCGACAAUUCUUACAUCACUC